CCUACGGGAGGCAGCAGUGAGGAAUAUUGGUCAAUGGGCGAGAGCCUGAACCAGCCAAGUCGCGUGAAGGAUGAAGGAUCUAUGGUUUGUAAACUUCUUUUAUAUGGGCAUAAAGUGAGGAACGUGUUCCUUUUUAUAUGUACCAUAUGAAUAAGCAUCGGCUAACUCCGUGCCAGCAGACGCGGUAAUACGGGGGAUGCCAGCGUUAACCGGAUUUAUUGGGUUUAAAGGGUGCGUAGGUGGUUAAUUAAGUCAGCGGUGAAAGGUUGUGGCUCAACCAUAAGAUUGCCGUUGAAACUGGUUGACUUGAGGAUAUGUGAGGUAGGCGGAAUGCGUGGUGUAGCGGUGAAAUGCAUAGAUAUCACGCAGAACACCGAUUGCGAAGGUAGCUUACUAAACUAUAACUGACACUGAAGCACGAAAGCGUGGGGAUCAAACAGGAUUAGAUACCCUUGUAGUC
rnacentral:rRNA from 1 species